GAUGAACGCUGGCGGCGUGCUUAACACAUGCAAGUCGAACGGUGAAGGCGGAGCUUGCUCUGCUGGAUCAGUGGCGAACGGGUGAGUAACACGUGAGCAAUCUGCCCCUGACUCUGGGAUAAGCGCUGGAAACGGCGUCUAAUACUGGAUACGAGCUGCGAAGGCAUCUUCAGCAGCUGGAAAGAAUUUCGGUCAGGGAUGAGCUCGCGGCCUAUCAGCUUGUUGGUGAGGUAAUGGCUCACCAAGGCGUCGACGGGUAGCCGGCCUGAGAGGGUGACCGGCCACACUGGGACUGAGACACGGCCCAGACUCCUACGGGAGGCAGCAGGGGGGAAUAUUGCACAAUGGGCGAAAGCCGGAUGCAGCAACGCCGCGUGAGGGACGACGGCCUUCGGGUUGUAAACCUCUUUUAGCAGGGAAGAAGCGAAAGUGACGGUACCUGCAGAAAAAGCGCCGGCUAACUACGU
rnacentral:rRNA from 1 species